rnacentral:tRNA from 1 species
CCCCGGAUAGCUCAGCGGUAGAGCGGUCGGCUGUAGACCGACAGGUCCUGUGUUCGAACUUGGAAAUCCUUCGGAUUUCCCAAACGAGAAUCACAGUCCGGGGACCA